GUACCCUCAAGCUCUGCUUGGUGUUGGGUGUUUGUCCUUUCCCUGCGUCAGGACUCGCCUCAAAUUCAUUGGCAGCCGAUGUAUUGGUUUGAAGCGCAGCACAAUUUUGCGAUUCAGGCUGGUAACCAUGGACGUCCAGUAAGCACAUUUUAACAC
rnacentral:misc_RNA from 1 species